rnacentral:lncRNA from 1 species
AGAGUUAGACAAAUUUUGGCCAUUAGCUUCCAAGAAUUCACGUACUUGUUCAGUUGACAGUUCCUCCUUAGUUGAUGCUUGGAAUUUUUUAAAUAUGGCAGCUACAUCUUCUGUAUAGAGGUCGAGUUUGUCAACCGCCGCAUGUCGGUCCACCUGAUCAUGAGAGACAAUGCGAUCGAGAACGUCAAAGAGAGAAAAAGAAGAGAAAAGAGAGAGAGGAGAGAGGUGAGGGGGGUGAAGGAGGAGGAAGUGGAAAGAUACUCUAAAAAAUUAAGGGGGUAAGUGUGCAUUAUAUAUAUAUAAUAUAUGUCCAACUUAUUUAGUAAGACGGUAGACAAGUUUGAUAGUUAUUAGUACAAUGCAACAAGUUUAAAAGUUUAGAGGUAUUCAAAUAUCGUUUAUUUUUAAAAGAUAAAUUACUACACAAGUUAAAGUUCAUACAUUAUAUUGGCCUAAAUCAUUCAACUAGCCAAAAGCAUAACAAUUCAAUGCAAAGGCAACACCGUAUGGGACCAAUAUCUAUGCUAUGAACUUUACCCCAUAUAUAAGAUCAUAAAUAAAUAUAUAGAUUCAAUUAACCAAAUAAAAACGAAUAUAAAAAAUGAAGUUCAUACCGUAGUUCUCACUCUUUGAUCUCUCAUGUCUAUUGCCAUCGGAAACCGUAGAGUCUGUGUUCACUGUACUAAUCUGGUCUUUAUUGUUGUUUAUUAGACGAUUAAUUACAACAUAAAAAUCACACCCACUAAAAUUGGAAAAGAAAAAUUAGAACGAGAAUUGAAACUUAGUGAAACUUUUUGUCUCUUUACUUCAUCGAAUCAUCAAACCCUUAAUGAAAACUUCUUAGACAAAAAGGAAGCAUAACAAAAAUCCCAGGAAAAGAAAAAUUAGGGCUUUCUAUUUCAAUCACACUUUCCCAACAAAAAUUUUGCCAAUGAAUUCCAAAAUAUGGUAUUACGUUAAUCACCAAUGUAAUUCUAAUGGAGAAGCAAAGCAAAUCAAGUCUCAUCGUUAAAAAAGAAGUCAUGCAUGCAAUUAAAAAGGGAAUCACACGAAGAAAGACCAGAAAUCUUUCGAUCCAUAUUUAAUUUGAGACAAACGUAUAUAAAAGAAAAGCAAAAAGGAGUAAUGCAUUGUAGCUUCAGCACAUGUCAUUACUCAUUUACUCGCCUUAAUUUUCUUAUAAACAGUGUUAGCUAGGCUUUUUUCUAAAAGCAUAGUAUAAAACUAUUUCGGGUAUUGCAUAGUGGGACGUACAACAGUUGCCGAAACAAAAGGCUUUGUUCGGAGAAGAUGGCUGUGGCUGUGAAUGCAAUUAGUGAAGCUAUGAAGAGUUUGGAGAGAAGGGGGGUUUUGUAUGGGGCAGAGAAUUAGGGUUUCAAGGUUGUUUGCUGUGAGCAGUGAGAGAAUGCUUACGCUUGCCGGUUCGCCACCGUUUUGGGGUUUAUGAGACUGAUUUUUUGGAUGAGGAAGACCAAAAAAGGUUGAGAUUGUUUCCAUAAAGGUUGGUAAGACUUGAACCCUAAUUGUAAAUUGUAAUUUCCAUGAAUUCCUAUUCUUUGUUUAAUUACAAAAUAAAGGACUACUACACACAUGAUCUCCCACUGAACCCCUAGUUAAAACUUCUGGUAUCUCUAUACUAUGAUAAAGACUCGUAGUGAACAUAAACCCUAAUUAUAAAUUAUUAGCCAAACAAAAAAAAGAUUAACUGAAACGAUGAAACCCCAAGAAAAAUAUUAUGGCUCUAAUUCAAUCACAUCUCCCCCAUGCCCAGUUUCUUAAUUCAAAUUGAACAAGAAGUUUGUAGAUGAAUUCCAGAAUAUCAAAUUGCAGUUAACAAUCAAUCAGAAGCUAAAGUCAUACAUGCAAUUCUUUUUCUCACAUAUAGAAAUACCAUAAUUUCAAAAAGGAUACAUACCAAAUCUUUUUC